rnacentral:rRNA from 1 species
UACGAAGGGGGCUAGCGUUGUUCGGAAUUACUGGGCGUAAAGCGCGCGCAGGCGGUUUCUCAAGGCAGUGGUGAAAGCCCGGAGCUCAACUCCGGAACUGCCAUUGAAACUGUGAAACUUGAGGACGAGAGAGGUGAGUGGAAUUCCCAGUGUAGAGGUGAAAUUCGUAGAUAUUGGGAAGAACACCGGUGGCGAAGGCGGCUCACUGGCUCGUUUCUGACGCUCAGGCGCGACAGCGUGGGGAUCAAACAGG